CCUACGGGCGGCAGCAGUGGGGAAUAUUGCGCAAUGGGCGAAAGCCUGACGCAGCGACGCCGCGUGAGGGAUGAAGGUCUUCGGAUCGUAAACCUCUGUCAGCAGGGAAGAACGGUCACUGUGCUAAUCAGCAGUGACUUGACGGUACCUGCAAAGGAAGCACCGGCUAACUCAGUGCCAGCAGCCGCGGUAAUACGGAGGGUGCGAGCGUUAAUCGGAAUUACUGGGCGUAAGGGGCUCGUAGGCGGUAUGUCAAGUCAAGGGUGAAAUCCCCGCGCUCAACGUGGGAACUGCCUUUGAAACUGGCAAACUGGAGUGUGUGAGAGGAUAGUGGAAUUCCAGGUGUAGGAGUGAAAUCCGUAGAUAUCUGGAGGAACAUCAGUGGCGAAGGCGACUAUCUGGCACAUAACUGACGCUGAGGAGCGAAAGCGUGGGUAGCAAACAGGAUUAGAUACCCCUGUAGUC
rnacentral:rRNA from 1 species